rnacentral:misc_RNA from 1 species
AUUAUUAUUAUUAUUAUUAUAAAAUAAUUAAAAACAUAUAUAUGUGUUCCACACAAAAGUUUCACGUCAUUUUAUUCUAACACACAAACUUCCAUAAUUCUAUCCGCUCAGAACAAGUAGAAAGAGAUUUGAUGGCUCAAAUGCAAGACCUUACCCAGUUGCGUCAUCCACAGUACAAGAAUGGUAGAGCCCAUAUAUUGAUCGCCACCAUAUUACUGCUAAGAGAGAUUCUCCACCGAUGGGACAGUCCUUCCGAUCGCCGGACCCUCUCGGAAUUGAGAUACUCGAUCCAAUUCCAAGCUUAAUGACCCGAACAAAUUUGAAAGGUUGUCAGAGCAACCGUUAAUGAAGAACCGAGCAAUCCUUGGUGGUAUCGGACGUUCCAAGCCCACAUUUGGCUGUCGAAUCAGGGUUCCAAACGGUGUGCAAAACUGUGCCAAAUCUCUUCUACCUCUGCCAACAAGCUGAGACUCUCCCAUGAAUAAGCAUAUGCAGCUGAAAUCAUAGAAGGAGGAGACAAGGUGAUGGCAUCUGCUAGGAUAGAAGCCACACAGAAAUCAUAACAUAUGCGAACGAAAUCAAAAGGAAAAGAGUUUACAGACACAGAUCGGAAAUCCAUGUUGAUGGAUCACAUAGAUUUUCCGAGUUGUGUGUUUCCAGGAGCAAGCCAAGGAUGAUUCGCCCUGUUCUCCCUCAAAGGCUUCCAAUACGUUGGCAUAAUCAAAGGAAAACCAUUUUGCUUUGAUUAUGCCAACAAUCAUGUGAUCGAAUCACACAAAUUUGACAGGGAGGAAGACCAUCCCCAUCAUCAGAAAUAACACCAUCACCGCAGCGGCGAUUCCUAUGGCUCCUGUGAUUUUCUUCACAGCCACCGACUUCUUGCCUCCAAGCAAGAAGCUAAGUAAAAGGAAAAGAAAAGCCAUAGCGUUAGCAGCCACGAUGAUAUACAGUGGAUGCGUGGGUGAGACAGAUGACGACGCCAUGGGAACGUAAGUAAUGAAGGAAACAGCAGCCUGACCCGUGAGACCCAUGAAAAUAUCUCGUAGCUUUGAAAUGUUUUUUUGAAUAGUAAUCGGAGGCAAUGUUUUGUUCAGAUGGUUCAUGUUUAUAACAACAUGAACCUCCUUAGCUGCCAUCCAUUUGAAUGAGAUUGCUUCCAUAUCUCGGAGUUCUUGAAAGAAAUUGUUUUCAUCUCCAUCCGAGUCUUGGAGAAUUUCUGAGAUAUUGAUCUUGCUAUCAUCUUCAUUGGGCAGGAACCUUUUGAUCUCGCCAUCAUCGAUAUGGAUGCCAGAGCAGCUGGUCAAGCAUCUGUUAAGUUCCGCUGAGAUUAGUUUUCCAUCGCAGUCUUCAUCGAAUUGUUUGAUCACCUUCUUGAUCGCAUCCCUCUUCCAUUCAAUUUCAAAGAUCGAGUUUGGGGUUGGCGUCGUUGUCAUGGUUGUGUACUUGGACACAGUUGUGUGGGUGGAGGACUAAAGACGGUGAACUGAGGAACUUUUGUAUUGAUUAUUAACAUAUUUGAAAGGCUAAACUUUAAAAGGGACUUGUUGACUUGACAAAUUAAAGAGCAUUGAUUGUAGCACAAUAAUUCUCAUGAUAUUAUCGCUAUGUUUGAUUAAUUCUAUAAAAUUUUAU